GAUGAACGCUGGCGGCAUGCCUAACACAUGCAAGUCGAACGAGCUGGAGCAAUCCAGCUAGUGGCGAACGGGUGAGUAACGCGUAGGAAUCUGCCCCGAACUGGGAAAUACCCAGCCGAAAGGUUGGCUAAUGUCCCAUAGUCUCGCAAGAGUAAAGGCGUAAGCCGGUUUGGGAGGAGCCUGCGUCCUAUCAGCUUGUUGGUGGGGUAAUGGCCUACCAAGGCUUUGACGGGAGCUGGUCUAAGAGGACGGUCAGCCACAGUGGAACUGAGAAACGGUCCACACACCUACGGGUGGCAGCAGGUUGGGAAUUGUUCACAAUGGACGAAAGUCUGAUGACGCAAUGCCGCGUGGA
rnacentral:rRNA from 1 species